rnacentral:rRNA from 1 species
AUGAAGCUGGAAUUGCUGUAAUCGCGGAUCAGCAUGCCGCGGUGAAUACGUUCUCGGGCCUUGUACACACCGCCCGUCACACCAUGGGAGUCGGUAACACCCGAAGUCUGUAGCCUGACGCAAGAGGGCGCAGCCGAAGGUGGGAUUGAUGACUGGGGUGAAGUCGUAACAAGGUAAC